rnacentral:rRNA from 1 species
GAUGAACGCUGGCGGCGUGCUUAACACAUGCAAGUCGAACGGAAAGGCUCCUGCUUGCAGGGGUACUCGAGUGGCGAACGGGUGAGUAACACGUGGGUGAUCUGCCCUGCACUUCGGGAUAAGCCUGGGAAACUGGGUCUAAUACCGGACAGGACGAUGGUUUGGAUGCCAUUGUGGAAAGUUUUUCGGUGUGGGAUGAGCUGGCGGCCUAUCAGCUUGUUGGUGGGGUAAUGGCCUACCAAGGCGUCGACGGGUAGCCGGCCUGAGAGGGUGUACGGCCACAUUGGGACUGAGAUACGGCGCAGACUCCUACGGGAGGCAGCAGUGGGGAAUAUUGCACAAUGGGCGCGAGCCUGAUGCAGCGACGCCGCGUGGGGGAUGACGGCCUUCGGGUUGUAAACUCCUUUCGCUAGGGACGAAGCGUUUUGUGACGGUACCUGGAGAAGAAGCACCGGCUAACUACGUG